AUUGAACGCUGGCGGCAGGCCUAACACAUGCAAGUCGAGCGAGCGGCGGACGGGGGAGAAAUGUCUGGGAAACUGCCUGAUGGAGGGGGAUAACAACUGGAAACGGUAGCUAUUACCGCAUACCAUCAGAUGUGCCCAGGGGGGAUUAGCUAGAAGGUGGGGUAACGGCUCACCAAGGCGACGAUCCCUCGCUGGUCUGAGAGGAUGACCAGCCACACUGGAACUGAGACACGGUCCAGACUCCUACGGGAGGCAGCAGUGGGGAAUAUUGCACAAUGGGCGCAAGCCUGAUGCAGCCAUGCCGCGUGUAUGAAGAAGGCCUUCGGGUUGUAAAGCACUUUCAGCGGGGAGGCGUUACCCGCAGAAGAAGCACCGGCUAACUCCGUGCCAGCAGCCGCGGUAAUUC
rnacentral:rRNA from 1 species